AGCAGUCGCCGCGGGAAUACGUAGGUGGCGAGCGUUGUCCGGAAUUAUUGGGCGUAAAGGGAGCGCAGGCGGGCGAGUAAGUCUUUCUUAAAAGUGCGGGGCUCAACCCCGUGAGGGGAGAGAAACUACUCAUCUUGAGUGCAGGAGAGGAAAGCGGAAUUCCUAGUGUAGCGGUGAAAUGCGUAGAUAUUAGGAAGAACACCAGUGGCGAAGGCGGCUUUCUGGACUGUAACUGACGCUGAGGCUCGAAAGCCAGGGGAGCGAACGGGAUUAGAUACCCGUGUAGUCCCUGUCUCUUAUACA
rnacentral:rRNA from 1 species